rnacentral:piRNA from 1 species
UAAAGAAACCUUGGACUUUUA